rnacentral:rRNA from 1 species
GAUCCUGGCUCAGGAUGAACGCUGGCGGCGUGCUUAACACAUGCAAGUCGAACGAGCGAGAGAGAGCUUGCUUUCUCGAGCGAGUGGCGAACGGGUGAGUAACGCGUGAGGAACCUGCCUCAAAGAGGGGGACAACAGUUGGAAACGACUGCUAAUACCGCAUAAGCCCACAGCUCGGCAUCGAGCAGAGGGAAAAGGAGCAAUCCGCUUUGAGAUGGCCUCGCGUCCGA